GGAAGCAAAAGUCGUAACAAGGUUUCCGUAGGUGAACCUGCGGAAGGAUCAUUAACGAGUUAGGGUCUUCUAGGCCCGACCUCCCAACCCUUUGUUUACUGAACCAUUGUUGCCUCGGUGGGUCCGUCUUACGACCGCCGGGGGAUCGCCGCGAGGCGCCCCCUGGCCAGCGCCCACCGAUAGCCCAACCUUUAGAACCCUUUGUGAAUCGUGUCUUAUGUCUAAAUUUAUGAUUAAACAAUCAAAACAAAACUUUCAACAACGGAUCUCUUGGUUCUG
rnacentral:misc_RNA from 1 species